GCACUUUAGUGCCACUCUGCAGUUCUGUACGAGCUGCGGGAACUGUGAACCUCUUCGAGAAAUGCUGUAGCUCCACACCCUGAGGCAGUGUAAGCUCCUAAAAUUCACUGUAACCAAACCUCUGCGUUUCUCCCAAGCCAGUUUAUGAAUGUGUCAGUAUGCAGUUUAUAAAAGCAGAGCCUUACUGAUCAAAGUUUAAAUAAAGCAUGGGAAAAAAAUGUGGAAGUGUCUAGAUUGCCUAAAUUUUUACGAUAUACAGGACUGGCUUUUGUGAACUUCUGAUUGUAUCUCAAAUUUAGUACCAUUUGGUCUUAUUAGGAAACAGUACGUUCAGUGAGUAAAAAAUAGCUUCAGAAAUUUUGUAUCUGCAAAAGUCUGCAAGCAAAAGAACACGUGCAUCAUAUGGAUAUCCAUUACAUUGUGAUCCACUUGUAUUUAAAUGGAAUGGGAAUGAAACUAUCUUUAAUUUAUUAAUCAACCUUGCUUUUGUUUAGAAAAGGAGGCAUAGGAAUCCGCUUUUCUCUGCACUGGUAAUUCUGCACUGCCUUAUUUUGAUUUCAAAAUCUAUUUCAGCAUUUUUGUUUUUCUAAUACUAAGAUUUCAUUUAUUAUACAUCAAGUAGUUGAAAUGUAGGCCUGUCUUGUUUGUCAAAAUACAGAUCAGCAUCUUAGUUUUUAUCUGUGUCAAAUCUAGGUGGUUAACAGUGUGCAUGUAAACACAGUGUAAAUUUUCUCUCUGUAACAGUGGUUCUUCUGGUUAGAAGCUCUUUAAAACAUCAUGUACAGUACUCCAGUAGAAGAACUGCCAAUGUAAAAUAUGCUUUUCAAAAAAAGAGCUAACUUAAUUGUUUUUAUAUGAAAUCUGGGCAAAGUGAUUCCUCGUAUUUAUGCUAAAUUAGCAAAAUAUUUUUACUCCGUGUAGUAGCUGGAAAGAUUUUUUUAUUUACUUGUUUCCACAAGAAGUCCUACAUGUUUUAUAUGAACUGCAUUGAAAAGUCUAGUUCUCUAGGGACUGGAUUCCAAACUUGCAACGUAUUCCAUCUCCUGGGAGAGCGCACCCAUGCUGGUUAUCUGGCUCAGCACUUCCACAGCCUCUGUUCCUCCAGUCACAGACCCCUCUAGGCUCUUUCUCUAAGGCUGAGUAGCCAGAUGAUCUUGCAUACUAAAAUUAUGGAGGUCUCAACAGUUAAGCAAGAUAUUUAUUUGGACUGCUGCUUUUAAACUGUUUGAAGAAGCAAAGGGAAAGAAAGUUCAUCUUAAAAUCUGUAUAUGGAAAUAAUUUUAAGCUUCAUGAACUACACAUUUCCUUAAUUUCCUUUUUUUAAACAAGUUGUAACAUCAAAGAUGCCAAAGGGUAAUAUAAGCUACAAUAAUAUUCAACAGAACUUAACCUAGAUCUUAUGUUGUAAUAAUUUAUUCAAAUUAACUGUAUUCUUCUGUAUUUAUAUUUUCCGUAUUUAUUAUGAAUGAUAUGAAAUUUGAUGUAUUUAUUGUGGCUUAUUACUGCAGUGUAUAUAUUACAAAAAUGAGCAUUUUUAAGUCUUAAUAUUAGUUUUUUUGUUAAUUAGUGGCACUUGUAUCAGCUGUAUUUUUAUUAUAUAUUGUACAAUAUAUAUUGUCCAUUUGUUUGCAAUGAAGUAAACCAGGUUUCUACGUUACAUCCUGGCUGCCAGUGCAUUGUGCGUCUCAUUUCUGCUCUGCAGUCACUAGAGAGCCUCUCUCAGCUGAGAGCUGGCAUCAGUACUGCACCUCCUCCCUGACACCUGCAGAGCCUCCAAAGGCACUCUGUGAAAUUUCAACCAUUUCUCCCAUUCCUGAUAGUCUGAUAGAAUAAGGAGAAGCAGUUUGUGUGGAAUUUCUGUGUGUGUGUUCUUUUGUUUCUAAAUAUUUGUAUGGCAAUUAAAUUAAAUAAACAGAAAUGCCUUCUUAGGUAUAUC